rnacentral:rRNA from 1 species
GACGAACGCUGGCGGCGUGCUUAACACAUGCAAGUCGAGCGGUAAGGCCCUUUCGGGGGUACACGAGCGGCGAACGGGUGAGUAACACGUGGGUGACCUGCCCUUAGCUCUGGGAUAAGCCUGGGAAACUGGGUCUAAUACCGGAUAUGACCUCAUGACUCAUGUUGUGGGGUGGAAAGCCUUGUGCGGCUAGGGAUGGGCCCGCGGUCUAUCAGCUUGUUGGUGGGGUAAUUGCCUACCAAGGCGACGACGGGUAGCCGGCCUGAGAGGGCGACCGGCCACACUGGGACUGAGACACGGCCCAGACUCCUACGGGAGGCAGCAGUGGGGAAUCUUGCGCAAUGGGCGAAAGCCUGACGCAGCGACGCCGCGUGAGGGAUGACAGCCUUCGGGUUGUAAACCUC